rnacentral:ncRNA from 1 species
CGAAGCUCUGGAAAGCGUUGCGCACCACCGAAGAAGCAAUCCCGCCCCGGCGGGAGAAUCUUUCAGGUCACAGGACAGAGGCGGC